AAAUGCAGAGUCUCAGGCCCCACCCCAGACCUACUCAGAAACUCUGGGAGUGGAGACCAGAAAUCUGCAUUUUAACAAGUCCCCCAGUUGAUUCUAAU
rnacentral:miRNA from 1 species